GAAACGAUUGAUUCAAUUGUCAAUUUUGAAAGAUUGUUGGCUAAUAUAUCAAUGUCCAAUGAGUUUUAUAGACACGAAAAUCUAACAGUUAUUAUCUAUGAGGACAUGGAUGUCGACACCAACACCAACAACAACAACAAUGAUCUAAAUAAUGAUCAAUCGCUUGAUAGUUCACUAUUCAGAGAGGAAAGGGAUUAUCUAAAGUCAAUCUACAAUAGGAUAACAAUUGACGAUC